GAGAGCGUACACGAGGUGCUGCAGUGGCUGUCGUCAGCUCGUGUCGUGAGAUGGUCGGUAAGUCCCGCAACGAGCGCAACCCCUGCAUUCAGUUGCCAUCGGUAAGGCCGGGCACUCUGGAUGGACUGCCGGCGACAAGCCGGAGGAAGGUGGGGACGACGUCAAGUCAUCAUGGCCCUUAUGUCCAGGGCGACACACGUGCUACAAUGGCCGGCACAACGGGAAGCGAAGGGGCGACCCUGAGCGGAUCCCACAAAAGCCGGUCCCAGUUCGGAUUGCAGUCUGCAACUCGACUGCAUGAAGUUGGAAUCGCUAGUAAUCGUGGAUCAGCCAAGCCGCGGUGAAUACGUUCCCGGGCCUU
rnacentral:rRNA from 1 species